rnacentral:rRNA from 1 species
UAGGGAAUCUUCCGCAAUGGACGAAAGUCUGACGGAGCAACGCCGCGUGAGUGAUGAAGGUUUUCGGAUCGUAAAGCUCUGUUGUUAGGGAAGAACAAGUGCCGUUCAAAUAGGGCGGCACCUUGACGGUACCUAACCAGAAAGCCACGGCUAACUACGUGCCAGCAGCCGCGGUAAUACGUAGGUGGCAAGCGUUGUCCGGAAUUAUUGGGCGUAAAGGGCUCGCAGGCGGUCUCUUAAGUCUGAUGUGAAAGCCCCCGGCUCAACCGGGGAGGGUCAUUGGAAACUGGGGAACUUGAGUGCAGAAGAGGAGAGUGGAAUUCCACGUGUAGCGGUGAAAUGCGUAGAGAUGUGGAGGAACACCAGUGGCGAAGGCGACUCUCUGGUCUGUAACUGACGCUGAGGAGCGAAAGCGUGGGGAGCGAACA